UACGUAGGGUGCAAGCGUUAAUCGGAAUUACUGGGCGUAAAGCGUGCGCAGGCGGUUUUGUAAGACUGUCGUGAAAUCCCCGGGCUCAACCUGGGAAUGGCGAUGGUGACUGCAAGGCUAGAGUUUGGCAGAGGGGGGUGGAAUUCCCGGUGUAGUGGUGAAAUGCGUAGAGAUCGGGAGGAACACCUGUGGCGAAGGCGGUUGCCUGGAGCUUUGCUGACGCUGAGGCGCGAAAGCGUGGGGAGCGAUCCGG
rnacentral:rRNA from 1 species